rnacentral:rRNA from 1 species
GACGAACGCUGGCGGCGUGCUUAACACAUGCAAGUCGAACGGAAAGGCCCUGCUUUUGUGGGGUGCUCGAGUGGCGAACGGGUGAGUAACACGUGAGUAACCUGCCCUUGACUUUGGGAUAACUUCAGGAAACUGGGGCUAAUACCGGAUAGGAGCUCCUGCUGCAUGGUGGGGGUUGGAAAGUUUCGGCGGUUGGGGAUGGACUCGCGGCUUAUCAGCUUGUUGGUUGGGUAGUGGCUUACCAAGGCUUUGACGGGUAGCCGGCCUGAGAGGGUGACCGGCCACAUUGGGACUGGGAUACGGCCCAGACUCCUACGGGAGGCAGCAGUGGGGAAUAUUGCACAAUGGGCGGAAGCCUGAUGCAGCAACGCCGCGUGCGGGAUGACGGCCUUCGGGUUGUAAACCGCUUUCGCCUUUGACGAAGCGUUAGUGACGGUAAUGGGUAAAGAAGCACCGGCUAACUACGUG